AAGAAAAGAAUGUUUCCAAUCUAUUUAUCAUUCGUUGAAUGAAUCUUAAUUCUUAACCAUUGAUGGAUUUCUCUUACAAAUUAUACGGUAAAAUUGAAGAGCUAAGCAAUUCUCUUGAAAGAUUUUACAAUUAGAUUUUGGUUGUUUGAAUAACAAAAGCCAUAAUAACUCAAAAGUUAGUCAGAGAAUGGAACCGGUGAGAAAGACUAAUCAAGCAUUCCAUCUAGCAUUGCUAUAAGAUUAUAUUCGCAUCUUAUAAUCCAAGCUUCCCCAUUAUAUAAAUACAAUAACUCCUUACUCGUGACUACAAGCAUCUGACACAUGUUUUGCAAUAAAUUGCUUAUAUUUUCCCGAUUAUAAAUACAUGAACUCCUUACCCAUGACUAAGCAACUGAGACACGUUUUGCAAUAAAUUUGUGAUAAAUGUAGCAACUUGCCUUGGGUAGAUUUAGCAUGUGUGGAGAAGACAUAUGGACCAAAUCGCUAGAGGUUGAGAGAAACCAAGAAAUAUUAUGGGCAAAACCAUUAUGAAGGAUCUAGAAAUCAAUAGUUUAUUACAGACAUUAUUUAUAGUAGAAUAUUAUGAGUCUAUUUGGAUAAAAUUACAUGUUAUGUUAGAAGUGUUUUUAAGAAUUUCUUUACCAAAAAUAAAAGUUAUUUUUAUAGAGAAACUCUUAAGAAUACUUCUAAAUUUGUAUCUCUACAUUUGUAUCCAAACAGUUCUAUGACAUCAUUUGAUUCAUGCAGUGAAUUUCAUAUAAUGUGAGUAAGGUUGGUGGUUAUUAUUUUUUAAGGCAAUUGGUAAUUUUGCAUUUUUAAACUCAUGCAGUUACUAAAUAGUUGAUGCUAGUGUUGAUAUCUCUUUUCAUGUGCUUUUAAACUUAAAAUGUACAGUUCAAUGAGGAGCAAGAAACUGAUGAUGCCACACCCCAAGAGAUAAAUGCAACCAUCAAUAAUGAGCCAGAGGUGCUUGACAAUGAAAAUGAAGAUCAGUCUCAUUUAUCCCCCGAAAUGGAAGACAGGCUAAACAACCAGCCAGUUGAUGAACCACUUGAAGAAACUUAGCGGAAACUCAUCAGGAGUCUGUGAUCAUUCUGAUCCAUUUGCCUAAAUUUUUAUUGUCCUGGAAAAUAUGGAUAGGAGCUCAAGAAUCAUGAUGUUAUGCGAUGAUGGCUGUUGAGUGUAUCAUUCUUUCAGUUUUGGCCACUUCUGUAGCUGUAAUCUGUAUAAUAUGUCAUCUUAUACUUAGAUUGUAUCAUUCUUUCAGUUUUGGCCACUUCUGAAAUCUGUAUAGUACUGUGUUUCGUGGGCCAUAGAGAGCGAUUUGGUUGUGUAAAAUAGUGCUUUGUAUCAUCAACCAUGCAUCUGUUGUAAUAAGUUCGAAGUUCUAUGAAAUGCUUUUAUCUCUUUCCUA